rnacentral:lncRNA from 1 species
CCUCUCUAGGGCGCAGCAAGUCCGCCGCGAGCCCCUCUGCUCAUCGCUCGUUACCCCCCAGGCCCUUGGGCUUGGGCUCAGGCCCAGUCGUUCCUCUGCAACAAAUCCAAUGGAACCGCGCCCUCCCUGAAUCCCACGUCUAGGAAGAGGAGGAGGAGCCCCUCUUGCUUGGGGGAAGGGGCUCCCGACUCGGAGCCCCGAGCCCCAUUCCUCUCCCGCGCCAGCUCUUCGGGACGCGGCCUCCCAGCGGACGCCCUGAGACCUUGCAAGUCCGCUAGGGAGGGGUCGGGACGAGCCGUCGCGGGUGGAUCCGCCCGGCCGAGCAACGACCCGCCCGGGCGCGAGGACCACGGGCUGUCGUGCGGGAGGCGUCGAGGGGCAGUAAACUCCGUUCGUGACCAAACGGAGACGAUUUGAAACUUGCUGCUCACACUGGAUCACCGUCUGGAAGCUGACGGAGGGGUUCCCACUCUCAUGUGAUGGCAGUGGCCAAACACAACACCUGACACUGGGCAGGUGAGAUUUACCGCAGUUUAUUAGUUACAACAUACUCAAUGGGAAAGGACACCACAAGCCACGCAGGGCCACACAGGGGGUGUACUCAGGAGUGGAGAGAACAACCAGGGGUUGUGGAGGGCAGGCUUUGUAGUGAUAAGAGAGUGAGGUGCUCCCUGGUUCCUGCAUGGGAGGUAACUGGCUUGUUUGAAUAAUUCUACAGGCUGGCAGGGAACUGAAGCCUACUACUAAGAGAUAAGCAGGAACUGCUCCUGGUUCAUUUGAUGAAAGGAUUGGCUAGGGGACCUUACCCACAGAACACAGCAGGAGGGCAGCUUACAGCUAGACCAUUUGAGGCCCUCUUGAUUUUACCAGAAGUCAAGUCAAUAGUUCUUUUUAUUUUUUACAUUUUUAUUUAUUUAUUUAUUUUUGAGACAGAGUCUCACUCUUCUUGCCCAGGCUGGAGUGCAGUGGCGCGAUCUUGUCUCACUGCAACCUCCGCCUCCCGGGUUCAAGUGAUUCUACUGCCUCAGCCUCCCGAGUAGCUGGGACUACGGCAUUUACUAGCAUGUCCAGCUAAUUUUUGUAGUUUUUGUAGAGACAAGCUUUUGCCAUGUUUUCCAGGCUGGUCUCAAACUCCUGAGCUCAAGCGAUCCACCUGAGAGCUGAGCACUCCCACAGUGCUGAGAUUACAGGUGUGAGCCACUGCACCUAGCCUCACAUAGCAUUUUGAGGGUAUAAAUUGGUACAACCUUUUGGGAGGACAAUUUGGUAGUAUAUAAAAAUAUGAAAUGUGUAUAUCCUUGGACCCAGCAAUCUCAUUUCUUGGGAAGAGAUACCAUCACAAAUAAUAUGAUGUAUGUCUGAAGACAGUCACUAAUGUACUGAAUGUAAAAGUAAAAAAAAAAAAAAAACCUC